AACGAACGCUGGCGGCGUGCUUAACACAUGCAAGUCGAACGCGAAAGGGGACUUCGGUCCUGAGUAAAGUGGCGCACGGGUGAGUAACGCGUAGAUAACCUGUCUUCAUGUCUGGAAUAAUACGCCAAAGGGGUACUAAUACCGGAUAUUCUUGCUUUUCAUAAGUUAUGCAAGCAAAGGUGGCCUCUGCAUAUGCUACUGCAUGAAGAGGGGUCUGCGUACCAUUAGCUAGUAGGUGGGGUAAUGGCCUACCUAGGCGACGAUGGUUAGCGGGUCUGAGAGGAUGAUCCGCCACACUGGCACUGGAACACGGGCCAGACUCCUACGGGAGGCAGCAGUGAGGAAUAUUGCGCAAUGGGGGAAACCCUGACGCAGCGACGCCGCGUGAGUGAGGAAGGCCUUCGGGUCGUAAAGCUCUGUCAAGAGGAAAGAAGUGUACAAUGGCUAAUACCUGUUGUAUUUGACGGUACCUCUAAAGGAAGCACCGGCUAACUCCGUGCCAGCCGCCGC
rnacentral:rRNA from 1 species